UUCGCUCACAGCGAAGAAGAUGACGAUAUAGUAUGAAGCAGAGCAGAAGACAGUGUCCUUCGGGACAUCCGAUAAAAUUGGAACGAUACAGAGAAGAUUAGCAUGGCCCCUGCGCAAGGAUGACACGCAUAAAUCGAGAAAUGGUCCAAAUUUUUUUUUCUUCCGCUGCGAUCAAAGAUCUGAUCUUGAAAAUUUGUGUUUCUAUGGCUUCUUCCUCUGUCUUCUUCCUUCUUCUACACUUUCUGUCUCUUUCAUACGUUUUGGGUGUUGCUCAAACAGUAAAGAGGUGUGAAUGUGUGAUAGUAAUUCGUGGAUAUAGACUUUUGAACAGAUUGAUAUUUGGUGCAACUUUGAGUCUUGGUGGUUGAUAUUCUAUUAGAAUUGAAGGUGCUGGAGAUUUUUGGAUGUGCCAAGAGGGGUUAUUCUUCAAUCCACUUUUUGUUUAAUCGGCAAGAGAGGUUUGCUAUUACCUUAAAAACUUUGGACUCUUGCUCAUGGAAGUAGUCUUAGUUGGCUAUGUUAGAAUAAAUUAGGGAUUUUAAUUUCGAAGAUUUGUUGUAAUUGAUUGUAAUCUUCUAUAAUUAUAUUUGAUGGUAUGUUAGAAUUAGGGGUGGCAAUUUGUGUUUACGUAUCAAAUCAGGUUGUGUAAGGGCAUGGGUAUAAGACUAUAUAGGUCAACC